rnacentral:snRNA from 1 species
CAUAUACUAAAAUUGGAAUGAUUUCAUUGGAAUGACAAGAGAAGAUUAGCAUGUCCCUGCACAAGGAUUACAUGCAAAUUCAUGAAGCGUUCAAUAUUUAA